AGAGUGCCAAUUCAGUCCUUCACUAACACAAAUUGUGGCGUGUCUGGGGAAACCAUGGGGUCAGCACCCCAGGAAUGAAAUGGAUGAGCUUUGCCCUGGGGAAGCCACCUUUAUGAACGUGGGUCUCUCCUGCAAGGCGGGAAGCCUCGUUGGAAGACAGCUCCCACCAAGAGUUGUUGAUAGUUGACGUAUGCUCCUGGCUCCUUACAGCAGGCAGCUUCCUUCCCUGCAUGGGUCUGCAAGAAAGCAAGGAGGAAGCCAUGUGUUCUAUUUUAUCUCCUAGUUUGGGGGCAACAAUCCAUUCCUUUCUCUGUGCAACCCAGAGAAUUGAGUCUUUCCCCAAGGGAAGAACAUGGCUUCUCUUACAGAAAGAGAAGAAGAAGAAGAAGAAGAAGAAGAAGAAGAAGAAGAAGAAGAAGAAGAAGAAGAAGAAGAAGAAGAAGAAGACAUCAUCAUGUUAAUCUCUAUCUCCCACCUUAAUGGCAAUUCUGUUUUGUUGUUGUUUGCCGUUUCAUUUCUACUUGUUUAUUGUGCUAGAGUCUCCUGUAGCUCAGACUAGCUUUCAACUUCUGAUCCCGCCUCCUCCUCUCCUGGGCUAGGGUUAUAGGCUUGGGCUGUCACCCCCAGCUCUCUCAUAUCAAUUCUUAACUGAUGAAAGGUAGCACCAGUAUUGCUUUCUACCCCUUAAGGCCUCACGGUGACCACCGCAAUGGGAACAGAGUAGCAGAGGCCUAAGAACCAGAUAACUGGCCAUCUAGUCAGGGUUUCUAUUGCUGUGAAAACCAUGACCACAGUCAGUUGUGGAGGAAAGGGUUUGUUUCACUCACAUUUCCAUAUCACAGUCAUCACCAGUGCAACUGUUUACCAUCAAUUGAAGUAUGGCCAGGAACUCAAACAGGGCAGGAACCUGGAGGCCAUGGAGCGGUGCUGCUCACAGGCUUGCUCAGCCUGCUUUCUUUUAGAACCCAGGACCACCAGCCCAGAGUGGUGCUACCAUGGGCCUGGAUCCUCAUUCUUCAGUCACUGAGAAAGUGCCCUACAGUCUUGCCUAGAGUCCAAUCUUACGAGACAUUUUCUCAAUUGAGUUCCUCCUCUCUGAUGACUCUAGCUUGUGUCAACCUGACAUAAAACUAUCCAGGACGCAAGCUUCCUCCAGUUCUACAGCAGAUACCCUCUGUGAGGCAAAUCAGUCCCAGGCCUUGUUUGUCCCAGUACCACUUGCUAAGACUUAGGUACUCUUUAACAUUCUUUUUCAAAUCCAAAUUUGAUUUUGAUUUCUAUAUUCAUCUUAUAGGAAAUUAUUACCUAACAUUUGAUCUUUUUGAAGUAAAAAAUGAAAAUUCUA